rnacentral:lncRNA from 1 species
UAAAGUAUAAUAAUAAAAAUAAAAAUAAAAAUAAAUUAACUAUACUGUUUCUCAACCUCCUGUUUUCUCACAGAAGCACCAGUCAGGCUUUUGUCUCCACACAUAUAUUGCCUUAUAUUGGUUGCUGAUGACUCCAUAUUGCUAAAUCAAUGGUCAGUGCACUACUACAAAUUUACUUGACCCCUCAGAAGAAUGUGGAACAGGUGACCACUUUCUUUUUCUUGAAACUCUGUCUUUACUAGGCCUUUCCAUACCCGACUCUUGGAUUUCUCUCCUACCUCAUUUGACCCUCCUUUCAUUUUCCAUUGCCUCUUCCUUUUCAUGAUGUCUAAAUUUUAGAGUACCCUGGGACAUGAUCUUCUGUCCUCUUUUCUUCUGUAUCUACACUUAUCUCAUAGAUAAUCUUAUCUAAUCACAAGACUUCCAGUAUCACAAUAGUGGCUACAUUUAUAUCUCUAGCCUAAACUCUCCCCUGGACAUUCAACUUGAUGCAUAUAUGACCUCUUCAACUGAAUAUUAAAUUGGAUCUCAAAUGAAACUUAUUGUUCCUUUAUAACCUGUGGGUGGGCAGGAGGCUGGAUGUAUGUGUCUCUGCUUUGCUUUCUCAACAGAUUUCUUCAUUUCAGUAAUUGGCACAUCUUUGAAGCAGCUGUCCAGUGGUUCUUGGAGCCUCACUGCUAAACCGUCAGUAAGAAAAAUACUGACUCUGCAAAACCAAAUACAUCUGGAAUCCGAAUCCUCUUGCAAAACUCUGAGCAGUGAUAUCCAACCUUUCUGGCACCCAGAGACCACCGGACCUCCUUUUCUACAAUCAAGCCAAACCAGUUCCUGUUGUUGGUGCCAAGAUAGACUACAGCUGGAAAUUCCCCAAAUGACCAACAGAUCACCUGGUGCCAACUGACUGACCACCAGGAAGAGCGACUAUUGACUUUGGGCUUAAAAGUCAUCUAAUCCACACUGUUUCUCACUCCCCUGACUACCCUCCUCUGCCCUGAGGUUUUUUUGCCUUUAUAAUCUCCUAUUCACUGACCCUGCCUGAGAGCAUGAUUUCUUUUUACACCAGGGGCUGCAUCUCCCCAAUCUGCAAAUUGUUUCUUAUGGAAAAUGAAGCUUUCUCUUUUCCUUCCACAGAUCUCAUGGUCUUUUGUUACAAGGAACCUGUCUCAAGACAGUCAUACUCUGUUAAUUCACUAUAACACUAAGAACCUCAAUGGAGUUCAGGUCUAUGAGAAUGAUUCAUUCAUAACAUCUAUCACCUUAAAAUUUAUUGACUAGGGCCUAAGGCACAACUGCCUUGCCCUGGGCUGAAUUCUACCCUAGGGCAGAGUUUUCGGUGGCCUCGGUGUACUCUUAGUAGUAUUUCUACUAAAAAGCCAACAUAGAGGGCAUAGACUCCAAGCCUUAGAGACUCAAACAAGAAACAACAUUUGACCAUUCCAUGCCCUCCAAAUCUAUUGGAUGCCACCAAACAAAGGCAAAAAAAAAAGCAGAUUUCAUAACACGAAAAACAAUAUAUUCUCUAUCUUUCAGCAUUGUGAGGGAAGGUGUCUGGUCUGGAAUCAUUUCUCAGUAUAAUGCACACCCCAAAGCAGCUUAACACAGCGGUAAGCCUAGAUGAAAGCAUUCAUGUCAAUUACAUGGAAAUGUUCUUUCACCAAGAUUGAGAAGCCACACUUGGGACAUUCAGUCCUCUAGACAAAAUGUAUUUGAAAUGGAAACUGAGAAAGCAAAGAGAAGCAUUUGUUCCUUUCCAGGUGAGAGGCAAGAGAAAGUCUUGUGUAAGAUAGCUGCUAGAAAUCCAGGCUGUUCUCUUCAGAACUCUCGUUCUCAGAUUUGCUAGGGUCUUUCCUUUGGUAGAAAGAGCUGAUUGCACUUCUAAAGGCAGCUUGACCUUUGCCCCAUCCCACUAGCUGAAUGAAACCAAGAAAGACUGCUUGAAUGCUUACACCCCUAAAGCGGAUUUGUAUUUAUAAAGUAGCCAAAGCUGUACUUGGCAAUGAUUUCACAAACAGAGAGACAAAUUCACAGGAGUGAGAAUAACUCUCUCACAAACUUUACCAUACUUUACACUUUGUUGGGAAGUCAGCAGAGAACUUCACACUUCAUUGAAAAUCCAUUAAACAAUUACCAGGUCAUUAGCACAGACUUUGAAGUACUAGCUUUCAAACUCCCUUACUAAAGAAAGCUCUUUGCUAGACCUUCAGCUGCCUUUGCAAGUGUAGUCCUAAGGAGCUUUAACAGAUAACCAAAACAGACAAACAUUAAAAAAAAAAAAAAAAGUGUACUCACUGAAAAAUAAAACAAAGCAUCAUGCAUGAAUCAUUUAAUGAAUCAAUUAUAUAACAGUAUAUGUUACAUAAUACUGUCAUAUGUAUUACUGUCUCUCAAUUGUAUCUGGAUAAGUAAAGUAGAUAAUCCGUAAAUGUUGGUUGAUUCAGGAAUAUGUUUCCCUAGACAAUCACAAACAACUACUGAGUGACUACCAAGGCUUUACUGCUUUUGUGCCAACCACCCUCAUUUGUAUCUCUAGCCCAGAUCUCUUCCUUGAACACCAAACUAGCAUUUUCUACUAUUCACUUGGCAUCUCAUCUGGAUGUCUACUAAACCUCUCAAACACAAUAUGCUCAAAACUGAACUCUUGAUCUUUACCGAAACCUGCUCUCCACCUCAGGUACUGGCAAUUCCAUUCUUCCAAUAGCUGAAAUCAGUGUUUUUUUUUUCUUUUCGUCUUUACUGAAGUAUAAAAGACAGAUGAUAAACUGCACAAAUCUAAAGUAUGCAAUUUGAGAAGUUUUGAUAUAUGUAUACAUGUCAAGACAGUAAACAUAUCCAUCAUCUGCAAACAUGAAACUUGUCCUUGAGUCCCGUUGUAAUCUCUCCUUCCUCUCCCUCAACACUUUCUCCCAUUUCUCUUACGAGGCAACCACUGAUCUGCUUUUUCUCACUAU